rnacentral:rRNA from 1 species
AUUGAACGCUGGCGGCAGGCCUAACACAUGCAAGUCGAGCGGAUGAAGGGAGCUUGCUCCUGGAUUCAGCGGCGGACGGGUGAGUAAUGCCCAGGAAUCUGCCUGGUAGUGGGGGAUAACGUCCGGAAACGGGCGCUAAUACCGCAUACGUCCUGAGGGCGAAAGUGGGGGAUCCUCGGACCUCACGCUAUCAGAUGAGCCUAGGUCGGAUUAGCUAGUUGGUGGGGUAAAGGCCUACCAAGGCGACGAUCCGUAACUGGUCUGAGAGGAUGAUCAGUCACACUGGAACUGAGACACGGUCCAGACUCCUGCGGGAGGCAACAGUGGGGAAUAUUGGACGAUGGACGAAAGCCUGAUCCAGCCAUGCCGCGUGUGUGAAGAAGGUCUUCGGAUUGUAGAGCACUUUAAGUUGGGGGGAAGGACAGUAAGUUAAUACCUUGCUGUUUUGACGUUACCAACAGAAUAAGCACCGGCUAACUUCGUG